AUUGAACGCUGGCGGAAUGCUUUACACAUGCAAGUCGAACGGUAGAGGGGGCAACCCCUCGAGAGUGGCGAACGGGUGAGUAAUAUAUCGGAACGUGCCCAGUCGAGGGGGAUAACGUAGUGAAAAUUACGCUAAUACCGCAUACGAUCUAAGGAUGAAAGCGGGGGAUCGCAAGACCUCGCGCGAUUGGAGCGGCCGAUAUCAGAUUAGGUAGUUGGUAGGGUAAAGGCCUACAAAGCCAACGAUCUGUAGCUGGUCUGAGAGGACGACCAGCCACACAGGAACUAAGACACGAUCCAGACUCCUACGGGAGGCAGCAGUGGGGAAUUUUGGACAAUGGGCGAAAGCCUGAUCCAGCCAUUCCGCGAGCAGGAUAAAGGCCCUCGGGUUGUAAACUGCUUUUGUACAGAACAAAAAGGUCACUAUUAAUACUGGGGGCUCAUGACGGUACUGUAAGAAUAAGCACCGGCUAACUACGUGCCAGCCGCCGCCGUAA
rnacentral:rRNA from 1 species